rnacentral:rRNA from 1 species
GUAAAGUGGCGCACGGGUGAGUAACGCGUGGGUAAUCUGCCUUCGAAUCGGGGAUAACAUUGCGAAAGCGAUGCUAAUACCGGAUAACAUCAUGAGUACCUGGUAUUCAUGAUCAAAAGUGGCCUCUACAUGUAAGCUACUGUUUGAAGAUGAGCCCGCGUACCAUUAGCUUGUUGGUAGGGUAAUGGCCUACCAAGGCUACGAUGGUUAGCUGGUCUGAGAGGAUGAUCAGCCACACUGGAACUGACACACGGUCCAGACUCCUACGGGAGGCAGCAGUGAGGAAUCUUGCGCAAUGGGGGAAACCCUGACGCAGCAACGCCGCGUGAGUGAUGAAGGCCUUCGGGUCGUAAAACUCUGUCAAGUGGGAAGAAACUAUUUCGUGCUAAUAUCACGUAAUAUUGACGGUACCACUGAAGGAAGCACCGGCUAACUCCGUGCCAGCAGCCGCGGUAAUACGGGGGGUGCAAGCGUUAUUCGGAAUCAUUGGGCGUAAAGGGCGCGUAGGCGGCCCAGUAAGUCAGAUGUGAAAGCCCGGGGCUCAACCCCGGAAGUGCAUUUGAAACUAUUGGACUUGAGUAUGGGAGAGGGAAGUGGAAUUCCUGGUGUAGAGGUGAAAUUCGUAGAUAUCAGGAGGAACACCGGUGGCGAAGGCGACUUCCUGGACCAAUACUGACGCUAAAGCGCGAAGGCGUGGGUAGCAAACAGGAUUAGAUACCCUGGUAGUCCACGCAGUAAACGUUGAUCACUAGGUGUAGCGGGUAUUGACCCCUGCUGCGCCGCAGUUAACGCAUUAAGUGAUCCGCCUGGGGAGUACGACCGCAAGGUUAAAACUCAAGGGAAUUGACGGGGGCCCGCACAAGCGGUGGAGCAUGUGGUUUAAUUCGACGCAACGCGAAGAACCUUACCUGGAUUUGACAUCCCGAGAAGUCUUUCGAAAGUCAGACGUGCCCUUCGGGGAACUCGGUGACAGGUGCUGCGUGGCUGUCGUCAGCUCGUGUCGUGAGAUGUUGGGUUAAGUCCCGCAACGAGCGCAACCCCUAUCUCUAGUUGCCAGCGAUUCGGUCGGGAACUCUAGAGACACUGCCUCGGUUAACGGGGAGGAAGGUGGGGAUGACGUCAAGUCCUCAUGGCCUUUAUGUCCAGGGCUACACACGUGCUACAAUGGGCUGUACAAAGGGUUGCGAGCCUGCGAAGGUCAGCUAAUCCCAUAAAGCAGUUCUUAGUUCGGAU